CCCUUAGAUGUUCUGGGCCGCACGCGCGCCACACUGACGAAUGCAACGAGCUUAUAAUAACCUUGGCCGAAAGGUCUGGGUAAUCUCCAAAUUUCGUCGUGAUGGGGAUAGAUUAUUGCAAUUAUUAAUCUUCAACGAGGAAUGCCUAGUAAGCGCAAGUCAUCAGCUUGCGUUGAUUACGUCCCUGCCCUUUGUACACACCGCCCGUCGCUCCUACCGAUUGAAUGGUCCGGUGAAGCGUUCGGACCGUGGCCUUUGGACGGUUCGCCGUCUGUUGGCUGCGGGAAGUUCGUUAAACCUUAUCAUUUAGAGGAAGGAGAAGUCGUAAC
rnacentral:rRNA from 1 species